UUAAAUAUGCAGUUUGAAGCCCCGCAUUUAGGACCAAAAGUAAGAGCUCAAACCAUAGAUAAAAUCUAGGUAAUCAUUCACAAACCUGUAAACUCAACAAACAAGACAACUCCUUUAAAGUCAAUGGUUUCUAUUUAUUUAUUUAUUUUAA